GACGAACGCUGGCGGCGUGCUUAACACAUGCAAGUCGAACGGAAAGGCCCUGCUUUUGUGGGGUGCUCGAGUGGCGAACGGGUGAGUAACACGUGAGUAACCUGCCCUUGACUUUGGGAUAACUUCAGGAAACUGGGGCUAAUACCGGAUAGGAGCUCCUGCUGCAUGGUGGGGGUUGGAAAGUUUCGGCGGUUGGGCAUGGACUCGCGGCUUAUCAGCUUGUUGGUGGGGUAGUGGCUUACCAAGGCCUUGACGGGUAGCCGGCCUGAGAGGGUGACCGGCCACAUUGGGACUGAGAUACGGCCCAGACUCCUACGGGAGGCAGCAGUGGGGAAUAUUGCACAAUGGGCGGAAGCCUGAUGCAGCAACGCCGCGUGCGGGAUGACGGCCUUCGGGUUGUAAACCGCUUUCGCCUGUGACGAAGCGUGAGUGACGGUAAUGGGUAAAGAAGCACCGGCUAACUACGUG
rnacentral:rRNA from 1 species